AUUGAACGCUGGCGGCAUGCUUUAUACAUGCAAGUCGUGCGGCAGCGCGGGGGCAACUCUGGCGGCGAGCGGCGAACGGGUGAGUAAUACAUAGGAACGUAUCCUGAAAUGGGGGAUAGCUCGGCGAAAGCCGGAUUAAUACCGCAUACGCUCCACGGAGGAAAGCAGGGGAUCGCAAGACCUUGCGUUUCUGGAGCGGCCUAUGUCUGAUUAGCUAGNGGCGGGUAUAGCCACCAAGGCGACGAUCAGUAGCUGGUCUGAGAGGAUGAUCAGCCACACUGGGACUGA
rnacentral:rRNA from 1 species